rnacentral:rRNA from 1 species
GCAUAUCAAUAAGCGGAGGAAAAGAAACUAACAAGGAUUCCCCUAGUAACGGCGAGUGAAGCGGGAAGAGCUCAAAUUUGAAAUCUGGCUCUUUUAGAGUCCGAGUUGUAAUUUGCAGAGGGCGCUUUGGCUUUGGCAGCGGUCCAAGUUCCUUGGAACAGGACGUCACAGAGGGUGAGAAUCCCGUACGUGGUCGCUGGCUAUUGCCGUGUAAAGCCCCUUCGACGAGUCGAGUUGUUUGGGAAUGCAGCUCUAAAUGGGAGGUACAUUUCUUCUAAAGCUAAAUAUUGGCCAGAGACCGAUAGCGCACAAGUAGAGUGAUCGAAAGAUGAAAAGCACUUUGGAAAGAGAGUCAAACAGCACGUGAAAUUGUUGAAAGGGAAGCGCUUGCAGCCAGACUUGCUUACAGUUGCUCAUCCGGGUUUUUACCCGGUGCACUCUUCUGUAGGCAGGCCAGCAUCAGUUUGGGCGGUAGGAUAAAGGUCUCUGUCACGUACCUCCUUUCGGGGAGGCCUUAUAGGGGAGACGACAUACUACCAGCCUGGACUGAGGUCCGCGCAUCUGCUAGGAUGCUGGCGUAAUGGCUGUAAGCGGCCCGUCUUGAAACACGGACC